UCGCAGCUUAUUCCGGCCCAUCUAUUCAUGUAUUUAUAGACUUGAGUUUACAUGGUAACUCCCCACACCAUGUCGUACAGGUGCGCGACUCGCGCGCCACAUGCGCUGUGUGCGCCAUGGCGUGGCAUGACCGAACUAGACCGGGAUUACGAUCGGGCAUGUCACCAAACGUUUCUCCCCUAAACCGACUGAAACUGAUGCUAAGACUUACUGAAACAAAGCUAACAAGAUACUGCAACAAUUUAGCUAACACCGGAGAUAUGCCGCCAACUGGAUAACCAUUCUCAAACUCCUGAUCUGUCUAAUUAGGCUCUUGUAAUGCUGACCAUGAUCUGGAGAGACCUGCUGGUGGCCAGAAUGUUCAUAAAACAUUGGCACCGCAUGUAAAAUAGCUGCACCGGAUGUACAUGAUCCCGAGUGGCAGCGAUCUGUGCUACACUAGCAUGUCCUUCUUUCCCGAUGUCUCAAAUUCCUAUGCCUCAUGUUUUUUCUUCUUUUCCAGUUGUCCCUCAUCAUCUCUGAUUUGUUUAUACGCUAACACUAAUAUGUUCACGAAAAGGAGAGGUGGUAUCAGGUCAUGUGUGGCUUAUGCAGAGAUAGUAUUGUACAGGCAAGUGAGUGGUGCCAUAUUUAUACUAGCAUCCCUAUAGGUUUUGUUGAUUGGUAGGUAACUAUUUAACUUGUGCAUAAUUUAUGAGAAAUUUUUGUGGUGGAUAGAAAUGAUAUGGGCCAUCCACCGAGAGAGACUAAAUUAAAUGGUAAAAAUACAGAAGACGCGUAUUGAAAGUACUUUAAUCAAACAAGUGGGGAUAAUUACUGAAAACGGUGCGACUAGUGUCCAUAUAUUACUACCAAAGGCUAAAGCGAUGUUGAUUUACUGACCAGUGUCCUUGGCCCUGUCUAUCAUCUACUACAUCUUUCUUGGGGCAAUUCGGGUGGGUCAUCAGGCCCAUAAUGAUGUGAAAAAAUUGUGUUGGAUCCUCUGCCACCAUUCUCCCUCUUGUCCUGCAUCAACGUCGGUCCCUAUCCGCCGCCACUCAGCUCGAUUGAUCGGCAACUGCUUACUCCCUCAAGGCCGUGUGGCUAGGGUUUCCAAGAUGACAUGGUGUAGUGUCAGCCUGGUGGCGACAACAGCUUCGAAAUCUGGCCACUGGCUAGCUGCUGGGUGACAAGAUCUGGGCAUCCGUCCUCAGUUGCAUAAGAUUCUCAAUUUGAUUAUUCAGUAUUCUGUUAGAUGAAGUCUGUGGUGUUGGCAAUGCUUCUGCAUAUGAGUGAGAAACAGGCCAGUUUACUGCAUAUGAGUGAGAAACAGGCCAGUUUACUAUUUUGUAUGCAAAAGUGCUGCUGCAGUAUAAUUCUACGUUGCAAUCAAUCACAGAUGCGAGCUUUUACUACACUGAAAUAUUUUACUUUGAUUGGAGCAAUACAAACAAUGGUUGAUAUCAAACUUUUAAAUGGGAGCUUUUACCAUAUAAAACAUUUUACCUAUUGCAUUUACCUGUCAAUGGAAUGAAUUAUAGAAUCCUUAUUGGGCACGCAUCCUUAAUCAUGUACUGAUGAGUCACUUAAGAUUGGCUACCAGUUACUACCACAUUGAAAGAAGAGGAAGUAUCAUAUUCAUGGAGUUCCUAACACCUACCACAUAAGUAAACAAAUUCAAUAUGCCAGUUGUUGGGAGGGAACUAAAGAGCCCAGGUACUAUCAGCGAGAUGCUUCUUGUCCGUCUCAUCCAUUGUCAGGAAACAAGAAUUACAAAAUAUACGUACCGACACUUAAAUUAGAAAAUGCAUUGUGCUGGGGUGGAUGGCACUAGUCCUCUUCUGCAACCAAGUUUAUUGUGUUGUAUGGGGGGGAGGUAUGGACAACUUUAGGAUCAGAUAAACUGCUACCACAUCAAGUACAGUUUCAGAGGGAGAAGCAGAAGGACAUAUGGAACAAGUGACAUUGUUCUAAUUCAUGUUGCCUCACUCUCAUAUGGUACUGAUGCACUUGGCACAACAUCGCCAGUUGACGUUUUUGUGGUAACUUCAGGAACAGACAUAGUUUGAGUUGUAGUUUCAGCUGCAGGGCUAAUGUAUGCAUUCAUUUGGUGCUUGUGAUGAUACUAGCUAACUAUAUGCGAACACACACCAAUGGAUGCACGGUGACAGUGGUGCCGGUGCUGGAGAAGAAAGAGAGAUUUAGUGUUCUAUUGUUAUUGUUAUCCCACACUAGUCCAUCCUAGUCCUCAAGAUGUUUAUCCCAUCACAUGCCCGUGGGUUGACACGAGAGAUGCCAGCCAAUACUAGGCACACAGGUGACAGGCCACUCGUGCAAACGCACUAGGCUCAUGCCUCAACACUGGCCUUAGAAGCUCAGAGCCAUAGGCCAGUCAUGACAGAGCUGCCGCUUGCCGAGAGCCUACCACCAGAGCAUGUGCGAUGGUGGUGUUCACUGUUGGUGUGCUUGGGCAGUAGGGCCCAUGGACAUAUGCCCAUAUGCCUAAGCUAUGGCCAAUAGUGACAAGGAGAAACCAGCCAGCCAGCAUGUCGGCACCAGGACGUGGGUUAGCAACGAAACUACAGAUGAGAACUGACUCCUCUCUGUUUGGAUCCACUGUUGGCCAUUGUAUAUAGGAACAGGCAUAUGCCUCUUUCACGACAUCUCCAAUUCCCAUGACUUACUGUUUCUUUUCCAGUUCCCACACAUUAGGCAUCAUCUUAUCUGUUUAUGCUAGUAGUAACGUGCUCACAAAAAGGAGG
rnacentral:lncRNA from 1 species